rnacentral:rRNA from 1 species
UACGGAGGGUGCGAGCGUUGUCCGGAAUCACUGGGCGUAAAGGGCGCGUAGGCGGUCUGCUAAGCGUGCGGUGAAAGCCUGGGGCUCAACCCCAGGUCUGCCGUGCGAACUGGUGGACUGGAGCACUGUAGAGGCAGGUGGAAUUCCGGGUGUAGCGGUGGAAUGCGUAGAGAUCCGGAAGAACACCGGUGGCGAAGGCGGCCUGCUGGGCAGUUGCUGACGCUGAUGCGCGAAAGCGUGGGGAGCAAACAGG